CCGGCGGACGCCGCNGAGUAACACGUGGGUAACCUGCCUGUAAGACUGGGAUAACUCUCGGGAAACCGGGGCUAAUACCGGAUGGUUGUUUGAACCGCAUGGUUCAAACAUAAAAGGUGGCUUCGGCUACCACUUACAGAUGGACCCGCGGCGCAUUAGCUAGUUGGUGAGGUAACGGCUCACCAAGGCAACGAUGCGUAGCCGACCUGAGAGGGUGAUCGGCCACACUGGGACUGAGACACGGCCCAGACUCCUACGGGAGGCAGCAGUAGGGAAUCUUCCGCAAUGGACGAAAGUCUGACGGAGCAACGCCGCGUGAGUGAUGAAGGUUUUCGGAUCGUAAAGCUCUGUUGUUAGGGAAGAACAAGUACCGUUCGAAUAGGGCGGUACCUUGACGGUACCUAACCAGAAAGCCACGGCUAACUACGUGCCAGCAGCCGCGGUAAUACGUAGGUGGCAAGCGUUGUCCGNAAUUAUUGGGCGUAAAGGGCUCGCAGGCGGUUUCUUAANUCUGAUGUGAAAGCCCCCGGCUCAACCGGGNAGGGUCAUUGGAAACUGGGGAACUUGAGUGCAGAAGAGGAGAGUGGAAUUCCACGUGUAGCGGUGAAAUGCGUAGAGAUGUGGAGGAACACCAGUGGCGAAGGNGACUCUCUGGUCUGUAACUGACGCUGAGGAGCGAAAGCGUGGGGAGCGAACAGGAUUAGAUACCCUGGUAGUCCACGCCGUAAACGAUGAGUGCUAAGUGUUAGGGGGUUUCCGCCCCUUAGUGCUGCAGNUAACGCAUUAAGCACUCCGCCUGGGGAGUACGGUCGCAAGACUGAAACUCAAAGGAAUUGACGGGGNCCCGCACNAGCGGUGGAGCAUGUGGUUUAAUUNGAAGCAACGCGAAGAACCUUACCAGGUCUUGACAUCCUNUGACAAUCCUAGAGAUAGGACGUCCCCUUCGGGGGCAGAGUGACAGGUGGUGCAUGGUUGUCGUCAGCUCGUGUCGUGAGAUGUUGGGUUAAGUCCCGCAACGAGCGCAACCCUUGAUCUUAGUUGCCAGCAUUCAGUUGGGCACUCUAAGGUGACUGCCGGUGACAAACCGGAGGAAGGUGGGGAUGACGUCAAAUCAUCAUGCCCCUUAUGACCUGGGCUACACACGUGCUACAAUGGACAGAACAAAGGGCAGCGAAACCGCGAGGUUAAGCCAAUCCCACAAAUCUGUUCUCAGUUCGGAUCGCAGUCUGCAACUCGACUGCGUGAAGCUGGAAUCGCUAGUAAUCGCGGAUCNAGCNAUGCNAGCGGGUGUAAU
rnacentral:rRNA from 1 species